rnacentral:misc_RNA from 1 species
GAUGAAGAACGCAGCGAAAUGCGAUAAGUAAUGUGAAUUGCAGAAUUCAGUGAAUCAUCGAAUCUUUGAACGCACCUUGCGCCCUUUGGCCAUUCCGAAGGGCAUGCCUGUUUGAGUAUCAUGAACACCUCAACUCUUUAUGGUUUUCCAUGAUGAGCUUGGACUCUGGGGGUUUUGCUGGCUCACAGUCGGCUCCUCUAAAAUGAAUCAGCUUACCAGUGUUUGGUGGGUAUCAUGGGUGUGAUAACUAUCUACUCUUGUGGUUUUUCCACCAGGUAACCUUCAGCAGUGGAGGUUCGCUGGAGCUCAUAGAUGUCUCUCCUCAGUGAGGACAGCCCUUUGAAUGUUUGAUCUCAAAUCAGGUAGGACUACCCGCUGAACUUAAGCAUAUCAAUAAGCGGAGGA